AACGCAAGUUGCGCCCGAGGCCUUCUGGUCGAGGGCACGCCUGCCUGGGCGUCACGUCAAAAGGCACUCCCAACCCAUCCAAGGGGAGGGACGUGGUGUUUGGCCUCCCGUGCCGCAAGGCGCGGUUGGUCGAAGUUGAGGCUGCCGGCAUACCGUGUCGGGCACCGCACGUGGUGGGCGACUUCAAGUUGUUCUCGGUGCAGCGCCCCGGCACGUAGCUAGCGUGUUGCCCUAAGGACCCAUCGACCGUAGCGCUUGCCGCUCGGACCGCGACCCCAGGUCAGACGAGACUACCCGCUGAGUUUAA
rnacentral:misc_RNA from 1 species